rnacentral:rRNA from 1 species
GAUGAACGCUGGCGGCGUGCCUAAUACAUGCAAGUCGAGCGAACAGACGAGGAGCUUGCUCCUCUGACGUUAGCGGCGGACGGGUGAGUAACACGUGGAUAACCUACCUAUAAGACUGGGAUAACUUCGGGAAACCGGAGCUAAUACCGGAUAAUAUAUUGAACCGCAUGGUUCAAUAGUGAAAGACGGUUUUGCUGUCACUUAUAGAUGGAUCCGCGCCGCAUUAGCUAGUUGGUAAGGUAACGGCUUACCAAGGCAACGAUGCGAAGCCGACCUGAGAGGGUGAUCGGCCACACUGGAACUGAGACACGGUCCAGACUCCUACGGGAGGCAGCAGUAGGCAAUCUUCCGCAAUGGGCGAAAGCCUGACGGAGCAACGCCGCGUGAGUGAUGAAGGUCUUCGGAUCGUAAAACUCUGUUAUUAGGGAAGAACAAAUGUGUAAGUAACUAUGCACGUCUUGACGGUACCUAAUCAGAAAGCCACGGCUAACUACGUG